UCGAGCGAGUCUGCCUUGAAGAUCGGAGUGCUUGCACUCUGUGAAACAAGAUACAGGCUAGCGGCGGACGGGUGAGUAACACGUGGGUAACCUGCCCAAGAGAUCGGGAUAACACCUGGAAACAGAUGCUAAUACCGGAUAACAACAGAUGAUGCCUAUCAACUGUUUAAAAGAUGGUUCUGCUAUCACUCUUGGAUGGACCUGCGGUGCAUCAGCUAGUUGGUAGGGUAACGGCCUACCAAGGCGAUGAUGCAUAGCCGAGUUGAGAGACUGAUCGGCCACAUUGGGACUGAGACACGGCCCAAACUCCUACGGGAGGCAGCAGUAGGGAAUCUUCCACAAUGGACGCAAGUCUGAUGGAGCAACGCCGCGUGAGUGAAGAAGGGUUUCGGCUCGUAAAGCUCUGUUGUUGGUGAAGAAGGACAGGGGUAGUAACUGACCUUUGUUUGACGGUAAUCAAUUAGAAAGUCACGGCUAACUACGUGCCAGCAGCCGCGGUAAUACGUAGGUGGCAAGCGUUGUCCGGAUUUAUUGGGCGUAAAGCGAGUGCAGGCGGCUCGAUAAGUCUGAUGUGAAAGCCUUCGGCUCAACCGGAGAAUUGCAUCAGAAACUGUCGAGCUUGAGUACAGAAGAGGAGAGUGGAACUCCAUGUGUAGCGGUGAAAUGCGUAGAUAUAUGGAAGAACACCGGUGGCGAAGGCGGCUCUCUGGUCUGUUACUGACGCUGAGGCUCGAAAGCAUGGGUAGCGAACAGGAUUAGAUACCCUGGUAGUCCAUGCCGUAAACGAUGAG
rnacentral:rRNA from 1 species